rnacentral:rRNA from 1 species
AUGUGAUCAAGCUACUAAGGGUGCACGGUGGAUGUCUAGGCGUGAUGAGGCGAUGAAGGACGUGAUAGGCUGCGAUAAGCCCAGGGGAGCUGUCAAAUGAGCUUUGAUCCUGGGAUUUCCGAAUGGGUAAACCCGUCGUCACUGUGCAAGCAGAUGGCGUCACUAUCAGCUGAAUUCAUAGGCUGGUAGAGCGAACGCAGGGAACUGAAACAUCUAAGUACCUGCAGGAAAAGAAAUCAACCGAGACUCCGUGAGUAGCGGCGAGCGAAAGCGGAUCAGCCCAAACCGGGUCUUCGGAUCCGGGGUUGUGGGCGUCGAUUAGGAGUUACAAAGGCAGCGACAGUCGAAGUGUCUGGAAAGUCACACGAUACAGGGUGAUAGUCCCGUAGACGGUAUCGUAAUGCCCUCCGUUAUAUCGACGUACCAGAGUAGCGCGGAAGCCGUGGAACUCCGCGUGAAGCUGGGGAGUCCACUCUCCAAGGCUAAGUACUACAUCACGACCGAUAGCGCAGAAGUAGGGCGACUGAAAGAUGAAAAGAACCCCCAUUAGGGGAGUGAAAAGUACCUGAAACCGUGCACUUACAAAGUUGUCGGAGCCCUAUGGCCCUUCGGGGCAACGGGUGACGGCGUACCUUUUGCAUUAUGGACCGGCGAGUUACGGUAUGCGGCGCGGCUAAGUCCCUCCGGGAUGGAGCCAUAGCGAAAGCGAGUCUGAAUAGGGCAACUAUGUCGCAUGCUGUAGACCCGAAACUGAGUGAUCUACCCAUGGCCAGGUUGAAGGGUCGGUAAAACGACCUGGAGGACCGAACCCACUAACGUUGAAAAGUUAGGGGAUGAGCUGUGGGGAGGAGUAAAAGUCUAACCAAACUCAGAGAUAUCUGGUUCUCUCCGAAAUAGCUUUAGGGCUAGCCUCGAGUAUAUUGCGCAGCGGGGGUAGAGCACUGGAUGAUCCGAGGGGCCUACCCGGCUACCUCCUUCAACCAAACUCCGAAUACCGUUGCGUGAACCUCGGGAGUCAGACUGCGAGGGAUAACCUUCGUGGUCAAAAGGGAAACAACCCAGACCGCCAGAUAAGGUCCCAAACUCAUGCUAAGUGACUAAGGAAGUCGGAUUGCACAAACAGCCAGGAUGUUGGCUUAGAAGCAGCCACCAUUUAAACAGUGCGUAAUAGCUGACUGGUCGAGCAACCCGGCGCCGAUAAUGAUCGGGACUAAGCAUGGGACCGACGCUGCGGAUUGUGCACUUGUGCACAGUGGUAGGAGAGCGUUGCUGUCGGCGCUGAAGCGAUACCGUAAGGAGUCGUGGAGCGGCAGCAAGCGAGAAUGCCGGUAUGAGUAACGAUAAAGCAGGUGAAAAUCCUGCUCGCCGCAAGCCUAAGGUUUCCUGGGGAAGGUAAAUCCGCCCAGGGUUAGUCGGGCCCUAAGUCGAGGCCGAAAGGCGUAGACGAUGGACAGCAGGUUAAUAUUCCUGCACUGUACGUGGCGGUUGAACCGUGGAUGACGCAUCGACACACCAGAUCCUACGACUAGUCGUGUAGGUUGGGGGUCCCGUAAGGGACCACCUCGAGGCCAACUUGUUGCCGAAGUCUGGAACGCCGGUGCCGAGAAAAGCUCCACGGGGACAAAGCGUGCAUCCGUACUAAAACUGACACAGGUAGGCGAGGAGAGUAUCCUCAGGCGCUCGAGAGAACCGUCUUCAAGGAACUAGGCAAAUUGGCCCCGUACCUUCGGAAUAAGGGGUCCCUAGCGGCGACUUGCAAUUAUGUAGGUCGUCGAAGGGCACAGUAAAGUGGCUCUGGCGACUGUUUAUCAAAAACACAGGACUCUGCUAACUCGCAAGAGGAUGUAUAGAGUCUGACGCCUGCCCGGUGCCGGAAGGUCAAGGAAGCAGGUCAUCCUUCGGGAGAAGCUUGCGACUAAAGCCCCGGUAAACGGCGGCCGUAACUAUGACGGUCCUAUGGUAGCGAAGUUCCUUGUCGGGUAAGUUCCGACCUGCAUGAAUGGCGUAACGACUGGAGCAGUGUCUCGAAGACGGACUCGGUGAAAUUAUGAUUGCGGUCAAGACACCGCAUACCCGCGGCAAGACAGAAAGACCCCGUGAACCUUUACUGUAGCCUGGUAUUGAUGCCUUGUGUCACAUACGUAGGAUAGGUGGGAGGCUUUGAUCCGACAGUUCCGGCUGUCGAGGAGCCAUCCUUGAAAUACCACCUUUGUGCCAUGAGUCACCUAACUCCGACCCGUGAAUCCGGGCGCAGGACAGUGCUUGGUGGGCAGUUUGACUGGGGCGGUCUCCUCCUAAAGAGUAACGGAGGAGUCCAAAGGCAUCCUCAGCACGGUUGGCAAUCGUGUGUAGAGUGUAAAGGCAUAAGGAUGCUUGACUGCGAGACCCAUAAGUCGAGCAGAUGUGAAAGCAGGGCUUAGUGACCCGGUGGUCCCGUGUGGAAGGGCCAUCGCUUAACAGAUAAAAGGUACUCCGGGGAUAACAGGCUAAUCGCCUCCGAGCGUCCAUAGCGGCGAGGCGGUUUGGCACCUCGAUGUCGGCUCAUCACAUCCUGGGGCUGUAGGCGGUCCCAAGGGUUCGGCUGUUCGCCGAUUAAAGUGGUACGCGAGCUGGGUUCAGACCGGCGUGAGCCAGGUCGGUCCUUAUCUGCCGUGGGCGUAGGAAUCUUGAAGGGAUCCUUCUUCAGUACGAGAGGACCUUGAAGGACCAACCUCUGGUGUGCCAGUUGUCCCGCUAGGGGCAGCGCUGGGUAGCUAAGUUGGGAACGGAUAACCGCUGAAGGCAUCUAAGCGGGAAGCCAACCCUAAGACUAGGAUUCCAUGUCCCUUACGGGACGAGAGCCCCCAUCCAGACUAGGUGGUUGAUAGGCCGGACGUGUAAGCGCCGAAAUGCGUUUAGCUAACCGGUACUAACGGGCGAUUGCUUGAUCAC